UGGAGCGGUCAUGUAAUGCAUCGCUGAACCCGACAGAGGGAACAGAGCGGAAUACCGAAGAUUUCGCGACAUGACAACAGCGCGAUGCGACCCACAUGAGCCUACCGAACCUGACUGCCCGAACGGAGACUCCGCUGCGAGAAAGCGGGGAACAACGGGACGCAGGUCAUAAAUGUGCAGAGUAACCUGAAACACUGACGGAGCUGCCAGCUGGCCCGAUCUGCAUCAUUCCAAAGUGCUGCCCUGCAGUUCCCUCUUCAUCUCCAUGGGGCUCGGAGCUCACCCAUAAUUGCAUGGCAGGCACAGAUACACAGUACAUUAUCCAAGGCCCUACACAGCAGUGCUCGGGCUGUGUUCACACUAGUAUCCUGACUUCCUUCUUAUAGCAAUGCCAUAACAGCUAGGCCCGAUCAGUUUUUGAAAGGAUAAUGGUUUCUUCAACUGUCUUCAAACUCCAAGGAUGUUAUCAUUAACCCCUUUACUGCACUAGACAACAAGAGAUGUUACUCCUUCACUGCACUAUACCACCAGGGAUGUUAUCAUUAACACCUUUACUGCUCUAGAACACUGGGUAUGUAACCUAUGGCUGCAAGGGAAAUUAAACUAACCUGCUUCUCCAGCCUCCUGCCACUGCACUUAACCAUCGGGGAUGUUAUCAGGAACUCCAUCAUGACCCUUGACCACCAGGGAUCCAGAUAUUCUAUCAUGAACGCCUUCCUUACCUUUGACCACCAGCUUGAUCCAAAAGUCUUCAUUCCUGCUGAAGCUUAAAUUCCUAAUCGCGGGGUGCAGGUUUCUGAAAGCCUGAAGCUUUAUAGUCACAUGGUCCUAGGCCCAGUCUGAAGCACAGUAAGGACCUAGGAUUCCUUCGUUCUUUUCCUUGGUUCCCAGAAGUAGGCAUCCUUGUUAUUUAGGUCUGGAUCCAAAUAACUUCUACAAAAAUGCACAGUAUGUCUUGGACUAAUUUUAAUACUCCACGUGGUUCCAAAAAUCUGUCUGUGUUUUCUUUUUCCUAUUUAAAUUCUAUAAAGCUUUUAUUUUACACAGUGAUUUUUAAAAGGGGUCACACAGAAUAAAAAAAAAUUAACAA